GGAGUUUUUAGCCUUUUAACAUUCAAGGAUUAGAGCUCCCUCUUUGCCCACUAGCAGGGCAUUAGCUGGUGCUGAAGACAGUGGCUGCUUGGCGAGCCUGGAUCUCCAAGUGACCCCCUCAGCAACUCCUGAUGAACAGGUAGCAUGUAAAAGAAAUCUUUUUGGUUUAUACCAGUGAGAUACGGGAGUUGUAUAUCAUUGCAGCAUAAUCUAGGCUAUAGAUGAUGCAAUACUGCUACAUUAGGGUCUUUGAUUUCUAGUCAGGCCCUAUGCCUAGGAUAGCUUACUGCUGGCACACUCUUCAGCCAGUCUCUCAGCUCUGCACAGCACCAGAUAUGCCAGGAUUUUGGCCUUUGAUUCAGAGCUCUUUUCUGGAAUUUUCUUCAUGACCAGAGAAUACCUCUGUCUUGCUUUGCUGACAAGAGGUAUUAAUCUAGAAAUGGCUAUAGUUAUAGUUCAUACAGGAAAUGUGUUGCAAAAAAUUGAGCUAAUCUAGAGAAGAGAAAAUAAAAGAUGGGAAGUCUUAGUUGCAUUCAAAUCCCUGGUUCCAGUUGUACCUGAGGUGCAGUUACAUUAUUGUUCCUUUAGUUUGCUAAAUAAGAUAAUGAAUCCCCAUGUUGACAAGGUUAAGUUAGAUUUCUAUAAUUUUUCUAGGAAUAACAUAGUGUUUUUAUUUGCCCAGAUGUUAUAGCUCACCUAAAAAAACCCUAUCUAUCCAGGGCUUUUGUUGCCUUUUUUUUUUUUUUUGAGACGGAGUCUCGUUCUGUUGCCCAGGCUGGAGUGCAGUGGCGUGAUCUCAGCUCACCAGAACCUCAGCCUACGGGAUUCAAGUGAUUCUCCUGCCUCAGCCUCGCUGGUAGCUGGGACUACAGGCAUGCACCACCACACCUGGCUAAUUUUUGUAUUUUUAGUAGAAAUGGGGUUUCACUGUGUUGGCCAGGCUAGUCUCAAACUCCUGACCUCAGGUGAUCUACCCGCGUAAGCCUCCCAAAGUGCUGGGAUUACAGGCAUGAACCACCAUGCCUGGACUAUUGCCAUUUUCAGUGUUGUGUCCAGUGAUGUUUCCUUCACACCAAGAAGUCUUCAGGGGAUUCAUAUAUGGAUUGUGAAAUCCUCUAGUGACAUGGAAGUUUCUGUGUCAUGCAGAUAGAGAAAUUGUGAUGCCUGGAUGCCUGAGGUUUUUUGGAGUGAGGUACUAUGCAUUUGCAAGUAAUUGUAAACUGUAUAAUCCAGGAUUAAAAGAUAAACUAUUGUUGCAUUUAGAACUGUGUUUAGAAUACAAUAAUUUGUUGUUGUUUUGUAAUAGGACUGAAGCCAAUAUUAAAGCAAGUCAACCAAAGGUUCUCUGGUGUAGACAAGACAGCAAAAGGACAGACUACCUUGUGGAACCUAGCAUUGUUCUCCUUCUGCAGCACUAAGUAACAUUUGUUCUCCGUUAAGAUCUUUGCAAACCACACACAAGAAUUGCUGGUCAUCCUGCCAAUAGAUGCUGCUCACAGAACCAAAUUUCCUGUGCUGAAUUGUCACUCAUGGGCUUGAGAGUAGGAGACUGGAGACCAAGGUGGCUAGAAUCCAGUUGGGCCUGAUGUCUCCCUGUUGAAAGGGCUCCUUGUGGAAUGAAUAGCACAUGGCUCCUGUGGUGGAUCUGAUAGUGGCAUAGCACCAAGUGAUGCAGGCCUGCCAGGGGCCACAGACACAGAAGAUGCUCCCGGGGUCCCCCAUGUACUCCAGACACACUGCAGGCCACCUCUCCCAGCAGGUUGCCAGUCAUGGGCCCCAUCAUCAUGACUUCUGUCCAAGGUGUGCUCGGAAAUCUCUUCCUUAACUGUGACUUUCUGACAGGUGGAGGAUGUGGUCAGGAGUGGGAAAAGGAUUCGAGACGGGAAGAGGGAGGGGUUCAGGAUGAAGAGAGAUAAUCUGUGCCACAGAUGCUGGCCCUGCAGUUAGCUCCCACCUAGUCCGUGCACACACAUUCUAAUCCCCUCCCAUUCCUUUACAUGCUGCGGCCAGAGAGGCCUUUCUCAAAGUGGAAGUCUCAUCCUCACUUCUCUGGUUACAGUGCUGGGCCAUGGUAACUUACAAGGCUUAGCAGGAACUGUCUGCGCACUCCCCCUUCCUGCCCACUACCUUGUUUCCCUCCAGUUGCGAGAGAAAACAUUGAUUGAGCAUUAACUAUGUGCCAGGCUUGUCCUAAGUCCUUUGCAUGUAUUCACUCAAACAAUCCUCACAACAUUCCUAUCACAUCUCCCAUUUCACAGUGAGGGUUCUAAAGCACGUAGUGGGUGAGGAACUUGUCCAGGGUCACACAACUAAGUGGGGGUGGAGAAACAUCAAAUCUAGGUGGUCCAGGUGGUGGCCAGAACCCAUCAGCACCUCACUACAGCUGCCUCCAGUUUCUCGCUCUAGGAAAUACUCUUCCCUGUCAACUCCUGUUGUCCUCUGGGCUCAGUUGACAUGUCAUCUCCUUGAGGAGGACAUCCUGAGAUGCUCCCCGACUAGGGUGGGCACCCACUUCCACACUCCAAAUGCCUAUUUGACCUGUGUAUCGCUGCAUCCCCACUGCCUGGCAGAUAGCAGGCCCCUAAUAAAUAUGAUUUGAGCAAAUAAAUAUAGUUCUUCAAAAAAUAGGGAGGACUUCUUGCUUCAGGUAAUGGUAGGCUAGGACAUUUGGACCAACCCUCCUGCAGAAAAUAGCCAUUUAUUUUGAUGCAAUAUAUCUGGCUAUGACUAGAGAUUUCAAAUAUUUGGAGGGCUAUUAUGUGAAGAACUAAACUUACUCUUUGUGACAUAGAGGUCAGAAAUUGGUCGUUUCCAUAGAGUAUGAGAGAGACAGAAUUGUGCUCAUCAUAAGUAUCUUUUUUAAAAGUUAGACUUAAUAAAAUGGGCUGCCUUGGUAGGUGGUGAGUUCUCUGUCACGAAAGAGAUUCAGCCACUUGCUCUGAGAAAGCAUGGAGAAUAUCAACAUUGUAAGGGUCGACCACCUCAUCUCUGAGGCCCCCUCCUCACUUAGGUUGCCAUUGCAGGUGGAACACUGGGCUGAGUGUCAAAGAACCUGGGUUCCACAAGCUGUGCGACCAUGGCUGGUUGUUUUGGAUCUCAUUCCUAAUAUCUGUUAGUUAAGCUGACCCGUCAAUACUGACCCACUUCACAGAGUUAUGAAGGGAUUAAAUUAGGUAUUACAUGUAAAUCUGUUUUGUUUGCUUUUUGUUGUUCUUUUUUGUUUUGCUUUUUUCUUUGCAUUAUGAAAUCCCAAGUCAACUUUUUCCAUUCUUUUAUUUUUUUAAAAAUUGACAUCAUCAUUAUAACCACAAAAUAAUUUUUAAAAUGGAAAAAAAAAACUCACCUGCAACCCCACAAUCUAAUACAAUAAUCAUACUUUUUUCCCUUUAUUCUCCUUUAUUGUGACCAAGGAUGACUUUGGGCAUUGCUGUGAGGAACUAUUUCGUUUAACACCCUACUACCUGAACAUGAUGCGUACUCAGCCUUUCACCACCCCCCAAGUAGCUACACAUGAUGUGAUAAUAGUAUUGGUGGUGGUUUUAGAGAGUUGGAGAGAAAACUGAAGUUGGAUUUGGGUAAAAGAAAAAAGAGUGGGAAUUAUUUUUUCUCCAUUCUAAAGCCCAUAAAGCAAUGUUAAUUGUUCCCACCCCUCUGCUAUUCUGUCUCCUCAGGUACUGUGUGCAGAAAUGUGAUUGAGAUUCAAGUCAGGGCCUCUCUGCCCUUUUCCCUCCAGAAACAAAACCAAGAUAAUUUAUCCUGAACACGGUGAAAAAAGGAAGGGAGGGAGGAGAAAAAGUCCGGGUCUCACCUGGGAUUCUCUGUCUCCUGCAACAUGAAGGAUUUAGCCUGGGAGGAGGUGGUGAGAACUCUGGGAGAGAAAAAAGAAGGAAAGAAUAGUUUUACCCAUGCUGAAGUUAAUUUAAACCUUCACCUAGAGAAGCAAAAAAAAAAAACCCACACUUUCCCAUUUUGUGCCUCCCUUCCUAGAGUUUUAGCCAAAGGUUUAGCUAAGUAAUUGGUUUUACCAGCGCACUCACUCCUCCUAUCCCAAGUCUGUUUGACUCCCUCCCCAUCAUCCUCCUCACCUCUUUUCAGGCAGGGUGGGGAUAGCAGCAGGAGGAGAUUUUGGGAGCCUGGCAACUCCUGCAAGGACCGCAGGACAGCCCCUCUGUGGGGAUGCGUGGUGCCCCAUCUGCCGCCCUUCUGAAGAAUGCACUGCCUUCACUUUUUACUGUGUUAGAGUCCAUCCAGACUGUUCUAUCCAAAAAAGUUUCUUUUUCCCCCACAGGCAAUCAGGAAAUGAUUCCUUUCCCGACUGCUUCUGUCUAGUGCCUGGGAAUCUUGAGUCAAUCCCUCAGUAAGUCAGUGACUAGGGAAAUCCCUCUCUGAGCCUCCCAGUUCAUGUUGCUUAGGGAACCUGAUAUUUUCGUGAAACCUGCCUACACAUGGGCAGCCCAACAGCAGAACAAAUGGUGGUGACCAAAGUGAACAAAGAAGUAUAGUUGUGCCAGCUUCGUAGUUGCCCAUGUGGACAAGUCAGCAGGAUCAGGACACGAGGAAGAGUAAAUGUGAGACAGUCAAUGUGACUUCUGCGAUAAACAGAUUUUUAAACCCCGAAAUUUUGCAAAAUUUUGGUGAAACCUGAACUUUCUUCGUUGCAUAUACUGGCACUAUCUGUACCAUCAUACAACUGUCUCACAUUAAAGCUAUUUUUCUUGGGCACUGAUGAGUAAGGUUGGUAUAAGUUCCUCAGAUCAACAAAAACCCAUUUUCCUGUAAGUCUUACAUUUAGUAUUUAAGGAACUAAAACUUAAAUACAUUUUGUGAAAUGGUUGACACUUCACUGAUAAUGAUUUAUUGCUUGGAUUAAUAAAUUUUCCAAAAGUUGUCUUAUGUAGAAUAUGGUUUGCAACCAGCAGAACCAUUAAUCUAUACUGCAAUGAUAUGCACUAUGUAUAAUUGUUUAAAAGCCUCUACUUAAUGAUGUAAAAUGCUCUAUUUAAUUACACAUUUGGGUAAACUGUAUACUAACAUCUGAUGGCAUUUUUCCACUGUUUGUUGCUUUUUUCAAAUACUUUAUUGUACAAAGCUGUUCUUAAUAUUUUUCAAGUUUUUUUCUUUGAAUUUUGCUAAUGUUUUCCUUGAAUUAUGAGCACUGACAGAAUGUGCUUAGCACUUUUGGCUAUUCACACAGCUUUUGAGCAUGAUUUGCAUCCAAUAUUUACAUUGCUAGCAAUAAUAAGCCAUCUGUGAGUUUUGUCAAAAGUUAUUGGGGAUUUUUUAAAUUUUAGAAAUGCAAAUUAUUGUUUCUUUGAACUAACUCUUAUGCAGUUGCAAAGGCAUUUCCAGUUGUUAUAGUUUGUGUACAAUAUCAGGUGUUCCAGAUUAUGAUUCAUUAUUAAUAUCAUUGCUUCCUUGUUCCCUCUGAGGUCCAGAAGAUUCAUGUUUACAAUAUUUAGAAACAAUGUUAAAAAGGUAUCCAAAGUUUGUCACUUUAUUAUUAGUUUGUUCUUAAUAUUCUGUUUAAGUUUUUGAAUUCAUAGAUAUCAAAACGCUGCACAAUUAUGAUUUCCACAGGAAUAACAACACACUAACAAUAAGAACCAAAAACAGCAAAUAGGCUGCCUACAAGUUUUGACAAUAUUAGGAUAAUGAUAAUGACAGUUUUUCUAAAUCUCACAGUAAAGAAUGCAGCAACCCAGCAACACUGCUACCUGUGGCCUCAGGCUGCAGUGUCAGCUCUUCCCUGGGUCUCCAGCCUGCCAGUCUAACCUGAAAAUUAUGUACUUGCCAGCCCCCACAGUCACGUGAGUGAACUGGCCCAGGCUGGUCACCAGGGUCAGUUUCUCUGUGUGUCAUUAAUUCAUUCAGUCUUCAGCAGUCUCUUUGGAGCUGAGAUGUACCUACCAUCUGCCUUUUGGGUGCUUAGGGUGGAGAACCAGAAAAGUAUAACCUAGUGUGUAUCCUCAAAGAGCUAACAAUAUGGGGUGGUACCUAUAGGUCUGGAAACACUUUACUGACUCUGUGAGGCAUACCAGGAGACGUCAGAGAACAGUCCCUCCUCAAAUGCCAAAUGAGAUGCAGAAGAAAUAGUUUGCUCAAGUUCAUGGGCCAGAUAUCCCAGUGGUCAGGGAGUUUCAUGAAUGAGAUGGAACUUUGCAUGGAACCCGAGGGAUGUGUAUGAUUUGAGUAGAUGAAGAAAAUGAGACUUUCCAAGCAGCUAGAAGUUAGGGAGCAGCAAGAUGUGUGGUGGGAUUGAGCACAGUUGGUUCAGAGGAUAGACUGCAGUUUUAAUAAUUUGUAGUAAAUAUCUCCCAACUGUUUGGCACUAUUGGAGCAAGUUCUUGAAUGCCAAAUGAAGGCAUAAAUCAGUAAGAGGCAUAAUAAAAGGCUGAGCAGUGCUUGGCUUUUUACGAACUGAUCCUGAUAGGAGCAGCUGUUCAACAAAGUUGCCAGGUCACCGUUACAUAGUCCCUGCCUUCUAGGGGCUCACUGCCUACUGGGAGAGACAGUCUGAAAGUUGGUGGAGCAUGUAACUGUUGGAUGAGGAGUUUGAGCCUGUGGACUGUGGGACCCCCGAGGAGGGUGUGGCUACUCUAGGCAGAACAAUCCCACAGUUUAUUUAUAUUUAACCUUGAAAUUCAUUAGAGGAUUUUUCAGCAGAGGUUUGGUACUUGUUAAUGUUAAGGUUUGCAUUCUCUAGAACCUCAAGGAAAGCUGUACCGUGCAUAAUGUACCCUCUUAUGUUAAUGUUGUGUACUGUGAUCCUGUUUCAGGGACUUGCACUUAGGAAUCUGUUACAGUGAGCACAGAAGCAGACCUGUGGGCUCAUAGUCUUCACCCCCCACCCAUAUAUACAAGAUGAACAGAGUGGAGGUUAAACAACUUGACUAAACAACACAGUUCAUGGUAAAGCCCAAGACUGUACCUGCCCAUCCACUGCCUUUUCCAUGUAUCCUGGAACUGAGCAUAGACCUCUUCCCAGGCAGAGCUGACAGCAAGUAAAGGAGAUCAUAAUCAGGGGACCAAACAACUUUGUCUAAAGUGUGAAUGUCACCUAAGGAGAAGCUGUGAGAUCAGAAGGGUGGGGCAGAGGAGCAGACACCAUGAGGGAGAGUCCUUGGGGGUACAUCUGCCAGACUGACACUGUCUGGCCUGGGCAGUGGAGGGGCUAGCAGGAACCACAGGUACUGGUGGUGUGGCUACUACCGUUACAACUGCCUGUGCUUGGACAUGGACCCUCUGCAAUAUGCGGCAGUUUCAUUCAUUGCCCCCUACAUUCUACACCAAGUAGAAAUGGAAGGCAAUUGGAUACUUCACAGACAAGAUCUAAGUGGAGAAGGAAUGCGUCCUGUGGCUGCAGAGAUCCUUGGAGCUUGGAGGGGAGAGCUUGAGCCCCACUGAUGAUGACCUCCCACAGCUCGCCAACUCAGCCCUCCCUAAGUCCCCAUCGGGGGCCAAUUCUCACUCUGGGGUUGGGGGGACUCCACCAUAGCUCAUCCAUCAUAGGGAUGUUGGUAUCUACUGUGGGUUGGGUAGGGCCGAUGUGCUGAGGAUGGCUCCCCCACAAGCAAGAGAUGUGGAUUUGGGGAGCUUCCCAUCUUGUGUUGAAGGAACAUAACUCAGAAUAAUAAGAGCCAACUAUAACAAACCCACAGCCAACAUCAUACUGAAUGGGCAAAAGCUGCAGGCAUUCCCCUUGAAAAGUGGCACAGGAUAAGGAAGCCCUUUCUCACCACUCCUAUUCAAUAUAGUGUUGAAAGUCCUGAUCACAGCAGUCAGGCAACAGAAAUAAUAAAGGGCAUCCAAAUAGGAAGAGAGGAAGUCAAACUAUCCUUGUUUGCAGACAGUAUGAUUCUAUAUCUAGAAAACCCCAUAGCCUCAGCCCAAAAGGUCCUUCAUCUGAUAAUUUCAGCAAAGUUUCAGGAGACAAAAUCAGUGUACAAAAAUCACUAACAUUCCUAUACACAGUCGCCAAGCCAAGAGCCAAAUCAGGAGCACAAUCCCAUUCAUAAUUGCCACAAAAAAGAAUAAAAUACCCAGGAAUGCAGCUAACCAAGGAAGUAAAGGAUCUCUACAAUGAGAAUCACAAACGCUGCUCAAAGAAAUCAGAGAUGACACAAACAAAUGGAAAAACUUUCCAUGCUCAUGGCUAGGAAGAAUCAAUAUCAUUAAAGUGGCCAUACUACCCAAAGCAAUUUAUAGAUUCAAUGCUAUUCCUAUCAAACUAUCAAUUACAUUUUUCACAGAACUAGAAAAAACUUAAAAUUCAUAUGGAACCAAAAAGCCUGAGUAGUCAAGGCAAUCCUAAACAAAAAGAACAAAGGUGGAGGCAUCACAUUACCUAACUUCAAACUACAGGGCUACCAUGACCAAAACAGCAUGGUACUGGUACAAAAGCAGACACACAGACCAGUGGGACAGAAUAGAGAGCCCAAAAAUAAGGCCACAAACCUACAGCCAUCUGAUCUUCAACAAAGUUGACAAAAACAAGCAAUGGGGAAAGGUCUCCCUAUUCAAUAAAUGGUGCUGGGAUAACUGGCUGGCCAUAUGCAGAAGAUCGUAACUGGACCCCUUUUACUAUGUACAAAAAUUAAGAUGGUUUAAAGAGUUAAAACCCAAAAUUAUAAAAAUCCUGAAGAUAACUUAGGCAAUACCAUUCUGGACAUAGGAACUGGCAAAUAUUUCAUGAUGAAGACACCAAAAGCAAUUGUAACAAAAGCAAAAAUGGACAAAUUGGAUUUAAGAGCUUUUUCAUAGCAAAAUAAACAACAGGGCAGACAAUCUACCAAAUGACAGAAAAUUUUUGCAAACUAUGCAUCUGACAAGGGGCUAAUAUCUAGCAUCUAUAAGGAAUUUAAACACAGUUACAGGAAAAAAAAAACCCACUCCAUUAAAAAAUGGGCAAAGGACAUGAACAGACACUUUUCAAAAAAGACAUACAUACAGCCAACUAGCGUGUUAAAGAAAACCUCAAUUAUCACUGAUCAUUAGAGAAAUGCAAAAUCAAAACCAUGAUGAGAUAUCAUCUGCCAGUCAGGAUGGCUACAAAAAAGUAAAAAAAUAAUAGAUGUUGGUGAGGUUAUGGAGAAAAGGAACUUAUACACUUGUUAGGAGUGUAAAUUAGUUCAAUCACUGUGGACAGCAGUGUGGUGAUUCCUCAGAGAGCUAAAAACAACUACCAUUUGACUCACCAAUCCCAUUACUGGAUAUUUACCUAAAGGAAUAUAAAUCAUUCCACCAUAAAGACACAUGCAAGUGUAUGUUCAUUGCAGCACUAUUAACAGUAACAAAGCUGGGCACAGUGGCUCACCUCACGACUGUAAUCCCAGCACUUUGGGAGGCUGAGGUAGGCGGAUCACCUGAGGUCGGCAGUUUGAGACCAGCCUGACCAACAUGGAGAGACCCCAUCUCUACUAAAAAUACAAAAUUAGCCAGGUGUGGUGGCUCAUGCCUGUAAUCCCAGCUACUUGGGAGGCCAAGGCAGGAGAAUUGCUUGAACCCAGGAGGCAGAGGUUGCAGUGAGCCGAGAUCACACCAUUGCACUCUAGCCUGGUGAAGGAGCAAGACUCCAUCUCAAAAAAAAAAAAAAAAAAGAAAGAAAGAAAAAUACACAUUCAGAGGAGACAAAAAAUAAAAAACAAUGAUGCAUGCCCACAGGAUCUAGAAAAUAACUUCUUAAGGGCAAAUCUAGGAGUUAUUGGCCUUAAAGAAGAGAUAGAGAAAGAGAUAGGAAUAGAAAGUUUGUUGAAAGGGAUAAUAACAUAGAACUUCCUAAACCUACAGAAAGAUAUUUAUAUCCAAGUACAAGAAGGUUAUAGAACACCAGGCCAAUUUAACCCAAAGAUUACCUCAAGGCAUUUAAUAAUCAAACUCCCACAGGACAAGGGUAAAGAAAGGAUCCUAAAAGCAGCAAGAGAAAAGAAACAGAUAACAUACAAUGGAGCUCCAAUACAUCUGGCAGUAUAUUUUUCAGUGGAAACCUUACAAGCCAGGAGAGAGUGACAUGACAUAUGUUAAAGUGCUGAAGGGAAAAAACCUUUUACCCUAGAAUAGUAUAUCCAGCAAAAAUAUCCUUCAAACAUGAAGAAUAAACAAAGACUUCCCCAGACAAACAAAAGCUGAGGGAUUUCAUCAACACUAGACUGGUCCCAUAAGAAACGCUUAAGGGAGUACUUUGGUCAGAAAGAAACAGACAUUAAUGAGCAACAAAGAAUCAUCUAAAGGUAAAAAACUCACUGUUAAGAGUAAGUACACAGAAAAACCCAAAGUGUGAUAACAUUGUAACUGUGGUGUGUAAGUAGAAAGAAUAAAUGAUAAACCAAUCAAAAAUAGUAACUACAACUUUUCAAGACCAGUCAGAAAAAUAAGAUAAAAUUAGAAACAACAAAAAGUUAAAAAGUGGGGGGAUGAAGUUAAGAUGUAGAGUUUUUAUUAGUUUUUUGUUUGUUAAUGCAAACAGUGUUACCAGGUUAAAAUAAUGGGUUACAAAAUAGUAUUUGUAAUCCUUAUGGUAACCUCAAACCUAAAAACAUACACUGGAUACAUAAAAAAUAAAAAGCAAAAACCUAAAUCAUAUCACCAGAGCAAACUACCUUCCCUAAAGGAAGACAGGAAGAAAAGAAAGAAGAAGACCACAAAACAACCAGAAAACAAAUAAAUAACAAGGCAGGAGUAAGUCUUUACUUAUCGAUAAUACAUUGAAUGGAAAUAUGGACUAAACUCUCCAAUCAAAAGACAUAGACUGGCUGAAUGAAUGGAGAAAACAAGACCCAUUGAUCUGUUGCCUACAAGAAACACACUUAAACUAUAAAGACACACAUAGGCUGAAAGUAAAGAGUUGGAAAGAGUUAUUCCAUGCCAAUGGAAACCAGGAAAAAGAGAAGGAGUAUUGAUUUUGAUACAAAAACUAUGAGACAAAUAAAGUCACUAUACAAUGAUAAAGGGGUUAAUAUGGUUUCCAUUUGUGCCCCACCCAAAUUUCGUGUUCUAUUGUAAUCCUCAAUGUUGGAGGUGGGGCCUGGUGGGACGUGAUUAGAUCAUGGGGGUGGAUCUUUCAUGACUAAUUCAGCACCAUCUUCUUAGUGCUGUUCUCAUGAUAGUGAGUUCUUCUGAAAUCUGGUUGCUUAAAAGUGUGUAGCACCUCUCCACACCACCCGCUUGCCUUGGUCUACUCCUGCUAUGUAGAUGCUUGCUCCCACUUUGCAUUAUUCCAUGAGUAAAAGCUCCCUCAGGCCUUCCCAGAAUCAGAUGCCGCUAUGCUUCCUGAACAGCCUGUGGAACUAUGAGCCAAUUCAACCUCUUUUCUUCAUAAAUUAACAAGUCUUGGGUAUUUCUUUAUAGCAGUGUGAGAACAGAAUAAUACAGAAAAUUGGUAAAGAGGAGUGAGGCAUUGCUAGAAAGAUACCUGAAAAUGUGGAAACAGCAGUGGAACUGGGAAAUAGACAGAGGUUGGAAGAGUGUGGAGGGCUCCGAAGAUAGGAAGAUGAGGGGAAGUUUGGAAUUUCUUAGAGAUUUGUUAAAUUGUUUUGACCAAAAUACUGAUGGUGAUAUGGACAAUGAAGUCCAGGCUGAGGAGGUCUCAGAUGGAGAUGAGGGACUUAUUGGGACCUGGAGUGAAGGUCACUUUUGUUAGGACAUUGUGGUUGGAGACAUUGUGCCCCUGCCCUAGGAAUCUGUGGAACUUUGAACUUGAGAGCGAAGAUUUAGGGUAUCUGGCAGAAGAAAUUUCUAAGCAGCAAAGCGUUCAAGACGUGGCCUGGCUGCUUCUGGUAGUCUGUGCUCAUAUUUGUGAGCAAAGACAUGACAAGAAACUGGAACUUAUAUUUAAAAAGGAAGCAGAGUGUAAAAGUUUGGAGAAUUUGCAGCCUGGCCAUGUUGUAGAAAAGAAAAAAACCAUUUUCUGGAGAGGAAUUCAAGCUAGCUGCAGAAAAUUGCAAGUAACAAGGAGCAAAAUGUUGAUAGCCAAGAUAGUGGGAAAAACACCUUGAAGGCAUUUCAGAUACCUUGGGGGCAGCCUCUCCCAUCACAGGCCCAAAGGCCUAGGAGGGAAGGAUGGUUUCCUGGGCCAGGCUCAGGGUCCUGCUGCCCUGCACAACCUCAGGAAACUGCUCUCCAAAUCCCAGCUGCUCCAGCUCCAGCUUCAGCUCAAAGGGCCCCAGGUAUAGCUCAGGCUGCUGCUCCAUAGGAUGCAAGUUAUAAGCCUUAGUGGCUCCCGUGUGGUGUUAAAUUAAGCCUGUAGGUGCACAGAGUGCAAGAAUUGAGGCUUGGGAGCCUCCAACUAGAUUUCAGAGUAUGUGUGGGAAAGCCUGGAUGUCCAGGCAGAAGCCAGCUGCAGGGACAGAGCCCUCAUGGAGAACCUCUACUAGGGUAGUGUGGAGGGGAAAUUUGGGGUUGGAGUUCCCACACAGCUUCCCCUCUGGUGUACUGCCUAGUGGAGCUGUGAGAAGACAGCCACUGUCCUCCAGAUUCCAGGAUGAUAGAUCUGCCAAUGACAGCUUGCACUGUACAACUGGAAAAGCCACAGGCAGUCAAUGCCAGCCCGUGAAAGCAGUGACAGUGGCUUACCCUGCAAAGUCCCAGGGGCUGAGCUGCCCAAGGCCUUGGGAGCCCACCCCUUGCACCAGUGUGCCCUGGAUGUGAGAUAUGGAGUCAAAGGAGAGUAUUUUGGAGCUUUAAGAUUUAAUGACUACCUGCUGGGUUUCAGACUUGCAUGGGUCCAGUAGCCCCUUUCUUUUGGCCAAUUUCUCACUUUUGGAAUGGGAGUGUUUACCCAAUUCCUGUACCCCCACUGUAUGUUGGAAGUAACUAACUGUUUUUUUAUUUUGUAAGCUCACAGGUGGGAGAGACUUGCCUUGUCUCAGGUUGAGACUCUGGACUUUGGACUUUUGAAUUAAUGCUGGAAUGAGUUAAGACUUUGAGGGACUGUUGGGAAGAUAUAACUGUAUUUUGCAGUAUGAGAAGGACAUGAGAUUUGGGAGACACCAGAGGUGGAAUAAUAUGAUUUGGAUCUGCAUCCCCACCAAAAUCUCAUGUUCAAUUGUAAUCCUAAAUUUUGGAGGUUGAGCCUGGUGGAAGAGGAUUGGAUAAUGGGGGUGGUUUCUCAUGGUUUAACACCAUCCCCCUGGGUGCUGUUCUCAUGACAGUGAGUGAGUUAUUGUGAGAUCUGAUUGUUUAAAAGUGUGUGCCACCUCCUCCCACUUUCCUCCUGCUCCAGCCAUGUAAGACAGGCUUGCCUCCCCUUCACCUUUUGUCAUGAUUGUAAGUGUUCUGAGGCCUCCCCAGCCAUGCUUCCUGUACAGCCUGCAGAACUGUGAGCCAAUUAAACCUCUUUUCUCUAUAUAUUACCCAGUCUCGGGUAUUUCUUUAUAGCAGUGCAAGAAUAGACUAAUACAGGGUUCAAUUCAGCAAGAGGAUAUAACAAAUAUAAAUAUAUAUGCACUCAACACUGCAGCACCCAGAUAUAUAAAGCAAAUACGAUUAGAGCUAAAGAGAGAGAGUGACCCCAAUACAAUAAUAGCUGGAGACUUCAACACCACAUUUUCAGCACUGGACAGAUCUUCCAGACAGAAAAUAAAAAAGAAACAUCAGACUUAAUCUGCACUGUAGAUCAAAUGGAUCUAAUACAUACUUGCAGAACAUUUUAUCCAAUGGCUGCAGAAUACACAUUCUUUUUUAGCACAUGUAUCAUUCUCAAGGAUAGACCAUAUGUUAGGUCACAAGUCUUAAAACAUUAAAAAAGUUGAAUACCAUCAAGCAUCUUCUCUGACCACAGUGGAAUACAACUAGAAACUAAUAACAAGAGGAAUUUUUGAAACUACAAAUACAUGAAAAUUAAACAAUAUGCUCCUGAAUGACCAUUGAGUCAAUGAAGAAAUUAAGAAGGAAAUUGAACAAUUUCUUGAAACAAAUGAUAAAGGAAACACAACAUACCAAAACCUAUGGGAUACGGCAAAAGCAGUACUAAGAGGCAAAUUGAUAGCUAUAAGUGCCUACAUGAAAAAAGAGGAAAAACUUCAAAUAAGCAAUUUAACAAUGAACCUUAACCAGAAAAGCAAGAGCAAAACAAACACAAAAUUAGAAGAAAACAAAUAAUAAAAAUUAGAGCAUAAAUAAAUAAAAUUGAAAUAAAAAUCAAUGCAAAAGAACAAUGAAACAAAAAGUUGCUUUUUUUCAAAAGUUAAACAAAACUGACAAGCCUUUAGCAAGACUGAGAAAAAAGAGACAAGAUACAAAUCAGAAAUGAAAAAGACAUUACAACUGACACUGCAGAAAUUCAAAGGAUCAUUAGGGGCUACUAUGAGCAACUCUAUGCCAAUAAAUUGGAAAAUCUAGAAGAAAUUGACAAUUCCUAGACACAUACAACCUACUGAGACUGGACCAGGAAGAAAUCCAAAACCUGAACAGACUAAUAACAAGUAACAAGGUUGAAGCCAUAAUAAAAAGUCUCCCACUAAAGAAAACCAAGGACCCGAUGGCUUCACUGUUGAAUUCUACCAAACAUUUAAAGAAGAACUAAUACCAAUCCCACUCAAGCUAUUGAAAAAUAGAGGAGGAGAGAAUAUUUCCAAAGUCAUUCUAGGAGACCAGUAUCACCCUGAUACCAAAACCAGACAAAGACACAUCAAAAAAAGAAAACUGCUGGCCAAUUUCUCUGAUGAAUAUUGAUGCCAGAAUCCUCAGCAAAAUAUUAGCAAACUAAAUUCAACAAUACAUUAAAAAGAUCAUUCAUCAGGGUCGGGUGCAGUGGCUUAAGCCUCUAAUCCCAGCACUUUGGGAGGCCGAGGUGGGCAGAUCACCUGAGGUCAGGAGUUCAAGACCAGCCUGACCAACAUGGUGAAACCUCGUCUCUACUGAAAAUACAAAAUUAGCCGAGUGUGGUGGUGCAUGCCUGUAAUCCCAGCUACUCAGGAGACUGAGGCAGGAGAAUCACUUGAACCCAGGAGGUGGAGGUUGCAGUGAGCUG
rnacentral:lncRNA from 1 species